GCGAGAGAGUGGAAUCCCCAGGUAGCUCCAGACUGGCAUAGCCAGCAUCUUCCCGUGCUUCCAGAUCCUGCCUGCUGAGCCUUUGUAGGGGCUCAGCCCUGUCUUGG